rnacentral:lncRNA from 1 species
UAGAAUUCCAAAACAUGAAGUUACAUGAAUACAGUGAGAAUGUACCACAUGACUGCUAUGCUUUGGGGAAAAAUAAUCCUAAAAAUUGCAAGAGUAUGCCUUCAAAAGAUUUGCUCAUCAAGCCUUAUGUCCUAGCACAUCAGACCUUCUAUAUGACAGCACACAUCAAGUUUUGGGUUUCACGCUGGGAACCAAGUCAUAAUGGCUUUGCAUGACCUUUGGAAUACUAUGACUGGUCUCUGAAUGUGCCACUGAUAUAGUCUCAUAUGGAUGGAUGAAGUUCCUGGAUGAGGUGUGCUAAGCAGCUCCCUUCACCACGUGAGACAUUCAAGGCCAUACUACAAUUUACCGUGCUCAGACAUUACCCAGAUGCCUUUCCAGUGGAGCUCACAAAAAAACAAAAAACAAAAUACAACGGCCUCCAACAUACUAAACAGCUGUCUCCGAGAUCAGAAAGCAUCAGAAAAGACCCUAAAGAGUUGUGUAAUCCCAAAGGAAGAUCUUGUUUAAAUGGAGAAGUGCUUGCAGCAGAAACCUUGGAAAUUUCAGGGAGUGGAAUUUUAUUGUCAGAACUUUCAAUGAAAGUGCAGCUACAGAUCCUGGGAGUGUUAAAUAAAAAUUACCAACAAGCUGUCUUACCUGUGUGCACUCCAUUGAAAGGAAGGGCAAACGUGAGCAAGUCGUGCUUGUACAUCAGUCAAAACUCUGACAGCUACCCUGUGAAGUCUGACGAGCUGCCAUGUGCUCGACUACCUAAGAUACUCUUAACUGAACCAUAAAAAGACAAAUAAAUUAGUAAUUGUAUCUCUCCUGUCAAUGUCCUUUUGCGUGAACUUCUCAAGCUGUUGGUUAACAUUGUCUGGAAUGAUUUAUCAAUAUAUUCUUAGCUUUCUUAGAAAAGACAGAUGCACUUGAUUUUUUUCCC